GGGCAUACCCCUUAAACCACGGAGAUAAGCGGUCCUUUUCAGUAACGCUGUACUACUGGACGGAGCUGGUACAACUCUAGUGGAGCACUCCAACUACGAACCCACCACCAUGGCUUUUACAGCCUUAUUUUGGAUUGCCUUAAUGUGUCUAUCCAUGACUACUCAUUUAAUUGGAGUACAGUGUGGCGCGGUUAAGGAGUUACUGUCAACGUCAUCCACUUUUCAGGAUGGACACAAGACUUUACACACAGAUAUCUUGAGACGGUGGCGACGGGAGAGCGAGGCGACACAGCGGCAACAUUGCGCACUGUUGGCAGUGCCUUGGAUGGAAACCAACGCGCUCCCGAUGGAUUUGGCACAGCAACAUCGUCUUCGGGUGCUUUCAAUGCCCCAAAGAGGUUUACGGCGUGCAGUCUAUCCAGAGCAACCGCUAUUCCGUUUUGUCAGACGGGUCUAUCGUUGCUGUCAAUUACAUUUCCAUUGCAGAGGCGUCAAGGGGAUUCAGGGUCGUAUCAGUGGAGAUACAGACAUGGAGUUCCUUCUCAGUCAGGAUGUUCUGUCAGUGACAGUAAUGAGAGCUGAGAUUCAUCUCUAUGUGUUGAAUCCUCAACACCUGAACAUUGAGCCUGUCCUUUCCUACAUGGCAAAACGCAAGCUUCCCACACGAUACAGUUUGCUGUCAAAGCAAAAUGUUCUGGAGCUUCAAGUUGAUCUGCUGUUCCUAUUCCAAGGUCUUCAGGAGGCAGCUGGUGGUGCCAUAGGGGGGCCAAGCCUAGUUGGCAUGCGGAAAGUGGGGGAGCUUUCAAGUGGGGGCCCACGAGAAAGGCCAGGAGCACCAUGGUCUCUGCAGGAUACCAAUGUUGAUCUCUGGGGGGAGGGGGUGGGCCCCCUGCUGACCAAUGUGGAGUUAGGCCUUGCCCUGAACUGUGACAGGGGGGGAGUGGAGGUAUCUUGUGAGCACAAUGGAGUCCACCUAUUACACUCUCCAUUCAUUGCUUUCUCCUACAGAUAAAGAUGACACAAACCAGGAUUGUACACACUAUCACAUUUUACCUUGUGAUGCUCCAUAACCCCAUCUCCAUGUUAUCUCGAAUGUCCUCAAGUCUAUGAAGCUGCAUUUAUUUUUCUGAGGGCAACAACUUUUAUUAAUGUUAUGUGAAGGCAGUGGAUGUGAUGUGUUCACUACCUAACAUUUUUUUUUGUUGCAAAAUCUAUAUAUUUUUAAGAUGUUAUACCCCAAGGGGUUCUUUGCACUUCAGCAAAUGCUUGUAUAUAUUAAAUUAUCUAUGUUGCUGUGUUUUGUAUAAAAUAUAUUGAUUUGUAAAGAUGCAAAUAUUGUAUAUAAUCACAUGUGUUUAUUGGAAAUGUGUUUGUUUUUCCUUUAUUGAAACUGAAUCUUAUUAAA